CCUCAACAAACAUGGAAACUAUCACCGCCAGGUCCCUCCUCCGUUCUGCCACUACAGCCGCCGGCAGAAUCGCCGGCGGCACUAAGCCAAAGGCCUCUUCAUCUCCCUUUCGUAUCCCUUCGCAGAAACCACUCACUGCUCGCAUUUUCAGGAGAGACACGCCAAGGCGAUAGAGACUCCCAACAGAAAUGCUUUUGAGUUAAUGAUGAGGUACACCGUACGUAUACACGAGAUCUGUUGACGUUAAUAUGGAUGCUGCAAAGGACCUUCUAAGGGUUGCUGAUCAAUAUCUUCUAGAGGGCCUUAAGCAUCUUGUGCGAGUAUGCAAUUGCACAGGAUAUCUCAGUGGAAAGUGUCUCUGAUGUUUGAAUUAUUGGACGCAUUUACUGCAUUGUCAUUACGAAAUGCUUGCAUUAUCUUCAUUUUGGAGAAGUUUCGACAAAUUAAGCCAUGCCAUGGAGGGAUGCAAUGUAGCAUUCAGUUUUGUUUCGAAAGGGCAUUGACAGAUAAUUUUGGAAAUGCUGCAUUGGUUCUUUGUUUGUUCCUGCGAUUGAAGGUGAAGAUGAAUUCAUGUUUGCUGUGCUCAUUGUGGAUUGAAAAUCACGGGUUCCAUCUUCAAGCGUGGCAAUCGUUGGCCUAUGUUCAGACCUUUUGGAGCCAAAUGGAGGUGAAUAUGAGGCUCGUUUCAUGCAUUCAUAGUUAUGCGUUUUUCUUAUGCUGUAUCACCCAAAAUUUUGAAAUGGAUCUGCAACGCCACUAUCAAUCAUAGAAAUACAGGUCGUACUAUUAACUUUCUCAUCAUUAAGCUACCGGACCUAAAAAUACCUAGCAACGCCGCCGUCAACCACCGGAAAAGUUCCCGCCGGCGUUGAGCUCCGGUCGAUUGUACCUUUCAGCUAUUCAAAGGAUAAGAGUAUUAAAGGCAUUAGAGGCAGAAGUAAAAAGUGGCAACAUAUUCCAUGGCAUUCGCCAAUUAUUUAUCCUUCUUCCUCUUUAUCACCCUCUUAUUUUCAUGGCAAAUCCAUGCGAGAGAGCCAAUUCUUCACCAGCAAAGAAACAGAAGUAGCAAUUCCACCAGCCCCCCUACCACCAGUAACGUUAUUCCUAACAAGUUCAACCACAAUGGUGACAGGGUGUCAAAGGCCACCAAUUCUAUUGGACCAUCCAGUGGCGGCAAGUACUACAGUAGAUAUAGGCGAAGUGAGGAACAUAGGACUUUUCGAAAUUAUCAUGGCAAUGAAGGUGAUUACAACGAUAAAGAGGAGCCCAAGCCUUAGUUUCCAAAAAGAAAAAGGAGCUCAGGUCUUGAGUUUGGAAUUCGUCAUGAAAAUAAUGAAUAAAAAUUAUGAAAGGUUUGCAGGCAGGUUGUUUGCCUAAAUGAGAGAUUGGGAUUUGUAUGAAUAUUUUGUAAUAAAGUCCAUACUUGUGCAUGGAGACGAAAUUGUGUUAAACGUUUGGAACAUCUUUGGUUAUUAAGAAGUUGCUAAUUGUGCUCGA